CGAAAGCAUCGCAUUGCAUUAAUUUCCAGGCCGGGCUCCAGUGUGGCUCCCAGAGAUGUAGCCGGAGGUGUUCCGUUCAGUUCCGGUUCAGGACAAUACAGACAAUUUUAUGAUCCAGAAGGUAGAAGAGGCAACAAGGGGAUCGGCUACACUUGAUCUCAUCUUAACAAAUGUGGAAGACCUGAUCAAUACAGUCAAAGUGGUUGGAUCCUUAGGGGCAAGUGGCCAUGUGCUCCUGCAGUUCACUUUACAAAGGAAGGCUGAAACUAAGACCAAUCAAACACGCAUUCUGAACUUUAAGAGAGCUGACUUCCAAAAAAUGAAGAAAAUAUCUGAGUGGCAUUCCAUGGACGCCAAGGGAGUUAAGGAUGGAUGGGAGUUUUUCAAAAAUGAAAUACUCAAGGCGCAAAUGCAAACAGUGCCAACAAAGAAUAAAAAUAAGACAAGUGUGAAGAAGCCAGAAUGGAUGUCCAAAGAACUUCUAACUGAGCUAAAGCUCAAAAGUGACAUGCCCAAGAAGUGGAAAAGGGGAGAAAUCACCAAAGAAGAAUUCAAACGUAUAGCCAACACCUGUAGGGAAAAGGUUCGCAAGGCUAAAGCGCAAAAUGAGCUCAGGCUUGCCAGAGACAUUAACAACAACAUUUAUAUUGUGAUUUAUGUAUAUGUCAACGGUUGUUUUAGGGUUUUGUCCCCAUGUAAGCCGCCCCGAUGAAGGUGGGGUAUAAGAAAAAAAUAUUAUUAUUAAUUAUUAUUAUUAAAAGGCUACAUAAAUCAAUGGUGAGAUGAUACCGUAAAAUGCUACAGAAACUAUUAUAUAAGUUAGCAAUUGCAUACUUAAAAACCAAUUAAAAUUCAGUAUUAUUAAAGAAACACUUUGGAGAUUGACAGCCACACUAUGAUUAUGUAAAAGCAUCUCCAGAACAGUCAGUUGCAAUAUCAGAAAUUACUGGUGGGGCUGGACUAAUAACAGGUGAUGAUGGGAGCUGUAGUUUACCCAUAUUCGCUUGCACUGUCUAAUGCGUCCACCCCAACAAUCAAUACUUAUGAAUGUUUAUUGUUACAGAAGAACGGCCCCAGGCAUCACUGGGAACUUCAGCUCGUAGAUCAAUAAAAUCAAACGGUAAAGCAA